AUUGAACGCUGGCGGCAGGCCUAACACAUGCAAGUCGAGCGAAUGAGGGAAGCUUGCUUCCCGAUCUAGCGGCGGACGGGUGAGUAAUGCCUAGGAAUCUGCCUAUUAGUGGGGGAUAACGUUCCGAAAGGAACGCUAAUACCGCAUGCGUCCUACGGGAGAAAGUGGGGGAUCUUCGGACCUCACGCUAAUAGAUGAGGCUAGGUCGGAUGAGCUAGUUGGUGAGGUAACGGCUCACCAAGGCGACGAUCCGUAGCUGGUCUGAGAGGAUGAUCAGCCACACUGGAACUGAGACACGGCCCAGACUCCUACGGGAGGCAGCAGUGGGGAAUAUUGGACAAUGGGCGGAAGCCUGAUCCAGCCAUGCCGCGUGUGGGAAGAAGGCCUUUUGGUUGUAAAGCACUUUAAGCGAGGAGGAGGCUACUAGUAUUAAUACUACUGGAUAGUGGACGUUACUCGCAGAAUAAGCACCGGCUAACUCUGUGCCAGCAGCCGCGGUAACAC
rnacentral:rRNA from 1 species